UACGGAGGAUCCAAGCGUUAUCCGGAUUUAUUGGGUUUAAAGGGUGCGUAGGUGGCCUGGUAAGUCAGGUGUGAAAGACGGUAGCUUAACUAUCGCAGUGCCUUUGAUACUGCCGGGCUUGAAUGAACUAGAGGUAGGCGGAAUGUGACAAGUAGCGGUGAAAUGCAUAGAUAUGUCACAGAACACCGAUUGCGAAGGCAGCUUACUAUGGUUUUAUUGACACUGAGGCACGAAAGCGUGGGGACCAAACAGG
rnacentral:rRNA from 1 species